UACCGCUUUACAGCUAAAGGAA
rnacentral:miRNA from 14 species